rnacentral:lncRNA from 1 species
UAGUAAUAUGAUGUUAUAUGUCUCUUUGGAAUAAACUUGCCUUGGCAGUAGAAUUGUUUUUGUUGCUCUUGGGAAAUUUAUAAUUUAAGCAGCAUGGGAAGCCAAGUGUAUGUCCCUCGUGAACGUAAUAUGGUGGAGAACUUCAAUAUAAUACCGGUAAGUGUAUUUUAUGUGAGCUGGUUUCCCCAAGGAUGGUGAUACAACUUCUGUCAUUUUAGACCAAACAGGCUGGCGGCGAAAUUAAUUUUGACUACGGUACAAUCUAAGAAUGUUCAUACAACAGGGUAUAUAGUUAUAUAGCUACCAUGCAUUUGACAUCGGACCAGAUGUUUAGAUCAUUGUGUUAAAUUUGGAUGUUCAGGAUGCUUUAGCAAAUAAUCGGAAGUAACCAUGGGCGUUUUUCGUCAGCAAAUAGAUAACUGCAUUAUGAAAGAUUUAAAGAACUGUCAUUAAACUACAUGUAUGUCAUUAAACAAAAUCGUAACUGUUAGUGGUCAUCUGAUCUUUAAAUUUUCGUUUUGAGUCGAUCGAAAUUUUUACACAAACAAUCAAUCUUUUAACCGUAUUGGAAUUUGACAUCAAGUAAAAACAGCUGUGUGUGUGCAGAAAACUGUAACAUGUGUCAUAGUACGUUCAUAUCAUCUUACUUCGAAAAUAAUUUCUUAGUAAACACCGUUAUCUUUCGGAAUUAAUCGGCUUGACCUUUGUAGUGUAUUAAGGAUUUAGCAGUGAAAAUGUGUAACAGAUUUGAACGAUUAAGAAUUGAAAAAUUCUGCUAUAGACUGUGAGAUUUAUCUCGUCGUAUAUUACCAAAUUACAAGGAAAACAUAAACUUGUUUUCAAACAUUGAUAUUGAAUUCAAUUUGUUAUCAAUUAUUUAUUUUUGAUGAAUUAAAAUUAGCAGACAAUAAACGGGAUAGACACACACUUUAUGAAACUUUGAUUACAGUCUUUACUUACAGGAAAAACACUUCUUAUUUUAUUUAGUUUGAUGAAAAAUCUGACCUACAUAUGGAGAUGAAUAACUGGUUUCUUAGUUUUUAACAAAAGGUUUAUUUAUUUUGUGUCAUUAAAAUUUUCAGAAUAAAACAGAUGAUUACCAAUUGGUAUUAUUCAUAAAUUAAAAAGAGUUGUGCACAAUGUUAAAAAACAUCUAAUUAGAGGACAGAAUCCAAUUAUCCCUUAUUCAAAAAUAUCUUUAGGGAAGUUGAACACGUGGGGAAUCUCUGACAUGAAAAUAUCAAUUACAGUAGCGCACGGAGAAACCUUCAUAUGGAAAACCGCCUCUUCCUCGUGUGAACAUGAUACACAUGAUAGUAUUUAGUACAGUUAUAAGUCUUUUAGAAAUAGUAUGAAAAGAGAAAAUAUUUACAUAGGACACAUUCAUCCACAUGAGAUAUUUCACUUUCAUUAUGGAUGUGUUGUCCUGUUAUAAAUUAACUGUUACCAUAAAUUACUUAAAACCCUUACUAAAUUUUUACAUAGAUAUAAAGAUUUGGUAUUGGAAAUUCAUUAUCAGAGCUCGUGUAAUAUAUAUGUAGCAAACACAAUACGUUUGACUUUAGUGGGUGCUGCAGUUGGAUUUAUUAUAGGUGUGGUUGUUCGGAAUACAAACCCAACGGACAGCACACUCAUGUGGGUUGCUAAGUAAAUUAAAGAAACUCUGGUAACAUUUUUUUUACAACGCCCUUUUUCAGUUUUUAUUGAUUCUGAACAAACCACAAGUUUUAAAUCAAACAGAAAACAGUUAUUCAAAGUAACUGUUGUUAUCCAUUCUUUUAAAAGAGGGACGAAAGAUACCAAAGGGACAGUCAAACUCAUAAAUCUAAAACAAACUGACAACGCCAUGGCUAAAAAUGAAAAAGACAAACAAACAACAGCACACACGACACAAUAUAGAAACCUAAAGAAUAAACAACACGAACCCCACAAAAAAAAUAUGGGUGAUCUCAGGUGCUCCGGAAGGGUAAGCAGAUCCUGCUCCACAUGGGCACCCGUCGUGUUGCUUAUGUGAUAACAAAUCCGUUAAUUAGUCUAAUUUGGUAGGUCACAUUCAUGAAAGGGAAGGGGAUUGUAGUUACGACGUAAGGAACAUAUCCGAUGUCAUUAUUUAAUGUGAUUGGGCUAUUGAUUUUGCCAUUUGAUUACGGACUUCCCGUUUUGAUUGUGUGGAAAAAAUCUGUCGAAUGCUAAUAGUACAAAUGUUCUAGGUAUAGUCCUGCCAAAAAGAUUUGUUUGGUAUUGUUAUAUAACAUGUGAACAAUGUAUAAAUAUAUAUAAACGAACUUUUUUACGUUCGGAAUGAAUAAUAAAGAAAUGUAUAUUAUACUAUUUAUUUAGAUCUUUUGAUUGCCAGUGUUAUAUUUGGCAUUGCCACGGCGUCAACAAAAGAAAUUGGACAACCAUUCUUCAAGUUCUUCUACUCAGCUACUGAAAUUAUCUUGGUGAUAUUAGGAAAAUUAAUUUGGUAAGGAUUCAAAAUAAAGAUAAUAACUUCAUUAUAGACACAAGGCUUAACACGAAACGCGCAAUUUAUCUAUAAACAAUUCAACAGUGACGCUCAAAUUAAAAACUUUUCAAAGGUCAUUGUGAUGAAUGUUCCCUUUCUUUAUGCGUAUAAAUACUUUGAAACAGAAGUUGUGUUGAUGGAAUUUUACUGUUAAUUGAUUUUACCACAUUUUACGUCACCAG